UCAUCAGGAGUAGAUGUUCAAUUACAUUUUUUUGCCCGUGCUGACUUUUUAUGCCUGUUUGCCUAAAGGGAAACCAACAAUCAUAAAAAUUUUGAACCUCACAACUUCAAAACUUCAGGCAUAUCAGGGGCAAAAAUACAACAAUGGGUCCUACCAUCAAAAUGGCCGACUUCUUGGGGCAUUAAUCGCCUGUUUGGUGGCUGUGAGAAAACAUUCCACAGGCCGCUUAUCCUCAUAACCGUUGCAGGAAAGCUGGAGCCUAUCCCAGCUAGCUUUGGGCAAGAGGCGGACUACACCCUGAACUGGUCGCCAGUCAGUCACAGGACAGAUAUCUACGUGAUCACUUCGCGGGAAUCGAUCCCACGCUGCCCCUACCAAAGAACAGUAGAUACGGCAAACGGCGUCUCUCAAGAACAAGGUAAGCUGUGUGUACACCUAUGCAUCAUUGUACAUAUAUAUAUGUAUAUAUAUAAUCAUAUAUAUAUUUAUAUUUAUAGUUCUAUUUCUGUAUAAAAUAAGAUCAAGUGUGUGCGCGCGCGUCACGUUUGGGGAGGAAUGGUCCAUUCUGUACAAAGGCCUUUUUGCAGAAGUAACAACACAAAAAGUCGUGUGCUUUGCUUUUCUGUACACACGUCGUCGUCGUCGUCGUCAUCUCCGGGCGUUGCGUAGCGUUCGCCGCUCUGUGCUCGUCCUCAGGGAAAUAGCGAGUGAAAAGGCAGUUUUUUUUUCUUCUCUUUUUUUUUCAGAUCUGUCAUCUUUUUUUCUUUCUUUUGUUGUCAUCCCGACUAAAUCCCGAGCGCGCGACGACAAC